rnacentral:rRNA from 1 species
CCUACGGGAGGCAGCAGUGGGGGAUAUUGCACAAUGGGGGGAACCCUGAUGCAGCGACGCCGCGUGGGUGAAGGAGUGCUUCGGCAUGUAAAGCCCUAUCGGCAGGGAAGAAGCAAGACGGUACCUGAUUAAGAAGCCCCUGCUAACCACGUGCCAGCAGCCGCGGUAAUACGUAGGGGGCGAGUGUUACCCGGAUUCACUGGGUGUAAAGGGAGUGGAGACGGCCAUGCAAGCCAGGGGUGAAAGGCCGGGGCCCAACCCCGGGACUGCCCUUGAUACUGCAUGGCUGGAGUGCGGGAGGGGCAGGCGGAAUGCCUGGUGUAGCGGUGAAAUGCGUAGAGAUCAGGAGGAACACCGGCGGCGAAGGCAGCCUGCUGAACUGCGACUGACGUUGAGGCUCGAAAGCGUGGGGAGCGAACAGGAUUAGAUACCCGAGUAGUC